UACAGAGGGGGCAAGCGUUGUUCGGAAUUACUGGGCGUAAAGGGCGCGUAGGCGGCCUGCUAAGUCGAACGUGAAAUCCCUGGGCUCAACCCAGGAACUGCGUCCGAUACUGGUUGGCUUGAAUCCGGGAGAGGGACGUGGAAUUCCAGGUGUAGCGGUGAAAUGCGUAGAUAUCUGGAGGAACACCGGUGGCGAAGGCGGCGUUCUGGACUGCAACUGACACUGAUGAACGAAAGCCAGGGGAGCAAACGGG
rnacentral:rRNA from 1 species